rnacentral:lncRNA from 1 species
GUAUGUAUGUUGUUACAGGGUGGUUAACUUCGCCAGCGGCCCCCUUUCCCGGGGCAGUCCCUGCUCUCCCAUGCUAGAUGGGCACCCUAAUCCGUCACCCCAUCCGACUUCAGAAUGUAUUCGUUGGGUUCGGCAACUCACCACCAGCAUCCAACCAAAUCUAGCGGAUCAACGGCGCAUCAACUUAGUUCCUGGUCAGCUCGCAAGUUGAUAUUAUCACGUCCUACACCGUCCGUAUGAUGGGGGGCCACCUCACAUUUCAUCACUCCUCAAACACCCGAGGAGCCGGCAGGCGGAUUUGAACCCGGGUCGACUGGGUCGACUCGGAGCAGAAGUCAGGCCUUAACCUUUGCCAGCCGCCUGCCAGCCGCCGGCCUAAAUGUAUGUAUGCAUGCAUGCAUGUAUGUAUGUAUGCAUGUAUGUACGUAUGUAUGUACGUAUGUAUGCAUGUAUGUAUGCAUGUAUGUAUGUAUGUAUGUAUGUAUGUAUGUAUGUAUGUAUGUAUGUGUGUGUGUA